rnacentral:tRNA from 1 species
AGUAGCUCAGCUGGAUAGAGCAACGGCCUUCUAAGCCGUAGGUCAGGGGUUCGAAUCCCUUCU